ensembl:rRNA 5S_rRNA 5S ribosomal RNA
GUCUAGAGGCAUGCCACCCUGAACGAAUCCAAUCCUGUCUGAUUUCGGAAGCUAAGGAGGGUCGGGAUUUGUUACUACUUGGGUGGGAGACCACCUAGGAAGAUCAGAGUUUGCAGGCU